UACGGGGGGGGCAAGCGUUGUUCGGAAUUACUGGGCGUAAAGGGCUCGUAGGUGGCCAACUAAGUCAGACGUGAAAUCCCUCGGCUUAACCGGGGAACUGCGUCUGAUACUGGAUGGCUUGAGUUUGGGAGAGGGACGCGGAAUUCCAGGUGAAGCGGUGAAAUGCGUAGAUAUCUGGAGGAACACCGGUGGCGAAGGCGGCGUCCUGGACCAACACUGACACUGAUGAGCGAAAGCCAGGGGAGCAAACGGG
rnacentral:rRNA from 1 species